UACGGGGGGAGCAAGCGUUGUUCGGAUUUACUGGGCGUAAAGGGCGCGUAGGCGGCGCAACAAGUCACUUGUGAAAUCUCCGGGCUUAACCCGGAGCGGUCAAGUGAUACUGUCGUGCUAGAGUGCGGAAGGGGGCUACUGGAAUUCUCGGUGUAGCGGUGAAAUGCGUAGAUAUCGAGAGGAACACCUGCGGCGAAGGCGGGUAGCUGGGCCGACACUGACGCUGAUGCGCGAAAGCCAGGGGAGCGAACGGG
rnacentral:rRNA from 1 species